UCCCUUGUGGCUCAAUGGUAAAGAAUCUGCCUGCAAUGCAGAUGACGCAGGUUCGAUCCCUGGGUCAGGAA
rnacentral:tRNA from 1 species